AAUAGAUACCCGGGUAGUCCACGCCGUAAACGAUGAGUGCUAAGUGUUAGAGGGUUUCCGCCCUUUAGUGCUGCAGCUAACGCAUUAAGCACUCCGCCUGGGGAGUACGGCCGCAAGGCUGAAACUCAAAGGAAUUGACGGGGGCCCGCACAAGCGGUGGAGCAUGUGGUUUAAUUCGAAGCAACGCGAAGAACCUUACCAGGUCUUGACAUCCUCUGCCAACCCUAGAGAUAGGGCGUUCCCCUUCGGGGGACAGAGUGACAGGUGGUGCAUGGUUGUCGUCAGCUCGUGUCGUGAGAUGUUGGGUUAAGUCCCGCAACGAGCGCAACCCUUGAUCUUAGUUGCCAGCAUUCAGUUGGGCACUCUAAGGUGACUGCCGGUGACAAACCGGGGGAAGGUGGGGAUGACGUCAAAUCAUCAUGCCCCUUAUGACCUGGGCUACACACGUGCUACAAUGGAUGGUACAAAGAGCUGCGAACCCGCGAGGGUAAGCGAAUCUCAUAAAGCCAUUCUCAGUUCGGA
rnacentral:rRNA from 1 species